rnacentral:rRNA from 1 species
GUAGUCCACGCCGUAAACGAUGCUCGCUGGAUCGGGGGUGCUCUGAUGCACUCCUGGUCGUAGCAAAAGCGCUAAGCGAGCCGCCUGGGGAGUACGGUCGCAAGGCUAAAACUCAAAGGAAUUGACGGGGGCUCACACAAGCGGUGGAGCAUGUUGCUUAAUUCGAGGCAACGCGAAGAACCUUACCUGGGCUUGACAUGGCCGGAUUAACUCCUGGAAACAGGAGCCACACCCGCAAGGGUGGAACGGUCACAGGUGCUGCAUGGCUGUCGUCAGCUCGUGCUGUGAAGUGUCGGGUUAAGUCCUCUAACGAGCGCAACCCCUGUCGCUAGUUGCUCACGGGUAAAGCCGAGUACUCUAGCGAGACUGCCGCUGUAAGGCGGA